AGCGAACGCUGGCGGUAUGCUUAACACAUGCAAGUCGAACGGUAGCACACUAAGUUCUUGCUCUUACCGGUUGCGAGUCGCGUACGUGUGACGUAUACAUCGUAAUCUACUCUUUCGUGUAGGCUUACGUAGCUAAGCCUACUCCAAUAUCGCAUCCCACCUUCGGGGUGAAGCAGGGAGUCUUUCGACCUUGCGCGAUUGCACGAGCUGAUGUCGGAUUAGCUAGUUGGUGGGCUAAAGGCCCACCAAGGCGACGACCCGUAGCUGGUCUGAGAGGAUGAUCAGCCACACUGGAACUGAGACACGGUCAAGACUCCUACGAGAGGCAGCAGUGGGGAAUAUUGGACAAUGGGCGCAAGUCUGAUCCAGCCAGACCGCGUGGGUGAAGAAGGCGUUCGGGUUGUAAAGACCUUUUGUUGGGAAAGAAAAGCAGCAGGUUAAUACCCCGCUGUUCUGACGGUACACAAAGAAUAAGCACCGGCUAACUUCGUG
rnacentral:rRNA from 1 species